UACGGAGGGUGCAAGCGUUAUCCGGAUUCACUGGGUUUAAAGGGUGCGUAGGAGGGCAGGUAAGUCAGUGGUGAAAUCUCCGGGCUUAACUCGGAAACUGCCGUUGAUACUAUCUGUCUUGAAUAUUGUGGAGGUGAGCGGAAUAUGUCAUGUAGCGGUGAAAUGCUUAGAUAUGACAUAGAACACCAAUUGCGAAGGCAGCUCGCUACACAUAUAUUGACGCUGAGGUGCGAAAGCGUGGGGAGCAAACAGG
rnacentral:rRNA from 1 species